UACAGAGGUCUCAAGCGUUGUUCGGAUUCAUUGGGCGUAAAGGGCGUGUAGGUGGUUCUGUAUGUCUACCGUGAAAGCGUACGGCUCAACCGUAUUUAGUCGGUAGAAACUGCAGGACUUGAGGCUGGGAGGGGCUGGUGGAAUUCCCCGUGUAGCGGUGAAAUGCGUAGAGAUGGGGGAGAACACUCGUGGCGAAGGCGGCCAGCUAGACCAGUUCUGACACUGAGGCGCGACAGCGUGGGGAGCAAACAGG
rnacentral:rRNA from 1 species